rnacentral:rRNA from 1 species
UUUAAAGUGGUACGCGAGCUGGGUUUAGAACGUCGUGAGACAGUUCGGUCCCUAUCUGCCGUGGGCGCUGGAGAACUGAGGGGGGCUGCUCCUAGUACGAGAGGACCGGAGUGGACGCAUCACUGGUGUUCGGGUUGUCAUGCCAAUGGCACUGCCCGGUAGCUAAAUGCGGAAGAGAUAAGUGCUGAAAGCAUCUAAGCACGAAACUUGCCCCGAGAUGAGUUCUCCCUGAGACUUAGAGUCUCCUGAAGGAACGUUGAAGACGACGACGUUGAUAGGCCGGGUGUGUAAGCGCAGCGAUGCGUUGAGCUAACCGGUACUAAUGAACCGUGAGGCUUAACCUUACAACGCCGAAG